rnacentral:sRNA from 1 species
GAUAAAAGCAUCAAAAGUCGAGAUUGUUCGAGCUUGCUCGAAACAAUCGAAGAAUUUGGAUGCCUAACAAAGAUGAGGAAGUAGCGAAAUGCAUGAAUUCAUGCAUUUCUGCGGAUUCCGAAUUUUUGUGCGAAAUUGCGGGAGUUUCGAAGAAACGGAGCAAUUUUG